rnacentral:rRNA from 1 species
UUUUUAUAGAUUUUAGUUAUAAAUAAUGCCUGCUCAAUGAAAUUUAAAUAGCGGCGUAAGUCCUAAGGUAGCAUAAUCAUUAGCCUUUUAAUUAAAGGAUAGUAUGAAAGGUGAAACGAAUAGAUUUUAGUUUUAAAUCUAUAUUUCAAAAUUAAUUUAUAAGUUAAAAAGCUUAUAAAUAAAUUAGGGACAAGAAGACCCUAUAAAGUUUAACUUUUAAUUAAUCUUGCUAAGUGAAAUUAAAAUUUUUAUUGGGGCAAUACUAUAAGAGUAAAUUUUGUAGAUUAUUUAUUAUUGAUCCAUUAUUAAUGAUUAUUUGAAAAAAUUACUUUAGGGAUAACAGCACAAUUAAAGUUUUAAAGUUCAUAUUUACAACUUUGGUUAUGACCUCGAUGUUGGAUUAAUCUUCAUAAUGGGGUAGUACCUAUUUUAGAAAGUCUGUUCGACUUAUUAUUAAUUACA